AAAAUGAAUAGCUAAUUUAAGUUUAUUUUUUACAUUAAUAAGAUACUGUAAAGUUUCAUUU
rnacentral:tRNA from 1 species